rnacentral:rRNA from 1 species
AGCAUAUCAAUAAGCGGAGGAAAAGAAACCAACAGGGAUUGCCCUAGUAACGGCGAGUGAAGCGGCAACAGCUCAAAUUUGAAAUCUGGCGCAAGCCCGAGUUGUAAUUUGUAGAGGAUGUUUCUGGCGACGUGCCUUCCGAGUUCCCUGGAACGGGACGCCAUAGAGGGUGAGAGCCCCGUACGGUUGGAUGCCUAGCCUCUGUGAAACUCCUUCGACGAGUCGAGUAGUUUGGGAAUGCUGCUCUAAAUGGGAGGUAUACGUCUUCUAAAGCUAAAUACCGGCCAGAGACCGAUAGCGCACAAGUAGAGUGAUCGAAAGAUGAAAAGCACUUUGAAAAGAGGGUUAAAAAGUACGUGAAAUUGUUGAAAGGGAAGCGUUCAUGACCAGACUUGGGCAGGUUGAUCAUCCGUGGUUCUCCGCGGUGCACUCUGCCUGCCCAGGCCAGCAUCAGUUCGCCCCGGGGGAUAAAGACUUUGGGAAUGUGGCUCCCUCGGGAGUGUUAUAGCCCACUGUGUAAUACCCUGGGGUGGACUGAGGUUCGCGCUCUGCAAGGAUGCUGGCGUAAUGGUCAUCAACGACCCGUCUUGAAACACGGACCAAGGAGUCGUCUUCGUAUGCGAGUGUUCGGGUGUCAAACCCCUACGCGUAAUGAAAGUGAACGUAGGAGAGAGCUUCGGCGCAUCUCCGACCGAUCCUGAUGUUCUCGGAUGGAUUUGAGUAAGAGCAUACGGGGCCGGACCCGAAAGAAGGUGAACUAUGCCUGUAUAGGGUGAAGCCAGAGGAAACUCUGGUGGAGGCUCGCAGCGGUUCUGACGUGCAAAUCGAUCGUCAAAUAUGGGCAUGGGGGCGAAAGACUAAUCGAACCUUCUAGUAGCUGGUUUCCGCCG